UUUUAAACCGGAUUGAAGGGAAGAACCUUUUUUGCGGCCUGGCCGUUUAGGUAUUGGGCAAAAAGAUCGGAUCGGAAAGCCUGAAGAAAU
rnacentral:sRNA from 1 species